rnacentral:rRNA from 1 species
AUGAACGCUGGCGGCGUGCCUAAUACCUGCAAGUCGAGCGAACAGACGAGGAGCUUGCUCCUCUGACGUUAGCGGCGGACGGGUGAGUAACACGUGGAUAACCUACCUAUAAGACUGGGAUAACUUCGGGAAACCGGAGCUAAUACCGGAUAAUAUAUUGAACCGCAUGGUUCAAUAGUGAAAGACGGUUUUGCUGUCACUUAUAGAUGGAUCCGCGCCGCAUUAGCUAGUUGGUAAGGUAACGGCUUACCAAGGCAACGAUGCGUAGCCGACCUGAGAGGGGGAUCCGCCACACUGGAACAGGGACACGGUGCAAAACCCCCCGGGGGGGAAGAAUAGGGAAACUUCCGGAAAGGGGGAAAAGCCUAAGGGGGAAACCCCGGGGAGGGAUGAAAGGCUUUGGGUUUGAAAACCUUUUUAAUUGGGAAAAAAAAAAUUUGAAAGAACCAUGCACCGCUUGAAGGGACCCAAACAAAAAAGCCCGGCCAAACACCGG